ensembl:ncRNA lncRNA:CR43854 long non-coding RNA:CR43854
UCGGAUACUUGGGGUGGAAAGGAAAACUGGUUGCUAAAAAUGUUAUUUUUAUUUUGCUUCUUCUCAUAAUUGCCCGCCAAGUAAACCGAGCAUACGCACGAGAAACCGGAUGCCAGCGAAAAGUUACGGGAAAACACAGCCCAGAUAUGGAAUACAAGCGGUUUGGCAAAUAAGAAGAUAGCCGAGAUGCAGAUACAGAUACAGGACAACACACUCGGAACUGGCAGGCACACAUAUGCCAUGUUGCCAGGAUGCCGGGAUGCCAGGAAGAGAGGAUGAGGAUGGAGUUAAUAUGGAGGGAAAAGAUGCAAAUCGGCCGACUGGAAGACUGCCAGAUUACUCGCCCACUUUUUAAAAGUGUCUCGAACGCUUUGUUUUAUUUUCCAGCCUUCACAUCCUUAUUGGUUGCCUUAAUUAAUUCAAUUUAUAUAAGAAAUGCAAUAAAACGACACGAUCUGCAGAUAUGCAGUACGCUUGAAAACAAGAAUCAGUAUUGAUUUUAUUU